rnacentral:misc_RNA from 1 species
CUACCAAUGCCUUCGGGUUUUGGGU